GACGAACGCUGGCGGCGUGCUUAACACAUGCAAGUCGAACGGUAAGGCCCCAGCUUGCUGGGGUACACGAGUGGCGAACGGGUGAGUAACACGUGGGUGACCUGCCCCGCACUUCGGGAUAAGCCUGGGAAACUGGGUCUAAUACCGGAUAGGACCGCACCGUGAGGGUGUGGUGGAAAGUUUUUCGGUGUGGGAUGGGCCCGCGGCCUAUCAGCUUGUUGGUGGGGUAAUGGCCUACCAAGGCGGCGACGGGUAGCCGGCCUGAGAGGGUGGACGGCCACAUUGGGACUGAGACACGGCCCAGACUCCUACGGGAGGCAGCAGUGGGGAAUAUUGCACAAUGGGCGGAAGCCUGAUGCAGCGACGCCGCGUGGGGGAUGACGGCCUUCGGGUUGUAAACGCCUUUCACCAUCGACGAAGGUUUUCUGACGGUAGAUGGAGAAGAAGCACCGGCUAACUACGUG
rnacentral:rRNA from 1 species